rnacentral:rRNA from 1 species
UGCCAGCCGCCGCGGUAAUACGGAGGGUGCGAGCGUUAAUCGGAAUCACUGGGCGUAAAGCGUACGUAGGUGGCAAAGUCAGUCAGGCGUGAAAGCCCUCGGCUCAACCGAGGAAUUGCGUUUGAUACUACUUUGCUAGAGUCUCGGAGAGGUUGGCGGAAUUCCAGGUGUAGGAGUGAAAUCCGUAGAUAUCUGGAGGAACACCAGUGGCGAAGGCGACCACCUGGCCAGAUACUGACGCUGAGGUGCGAAAGUGUGGGUAGCGAACAGGAUUAGAUA